GCAGAAGGAUCAUUAGUGAAGAUUUGGGCAGGCCAUACGGACGCCAAAAAAGUGUCCCUGGCCGCCUACACCCACUAUACAUCCACAAACCCGUGUGCACUGUCUUGGAGAAAGGCUUCUUGAGAAGUUUUGUGGCCUCUCUUGGGGUCUUUCUUCGCUACAAACUCGAAUGGUUAGUAUGAACGUGGAACUUGGUUGGACCGUCACUGGCCAACAAACUAUACACAACUUUCGACAACGGAUCUCUUGGUUCUCCCA
rnacentral:misc_RNA from 1 species